rnacentral:rRNA from 1 species
AACGUAGGACACAAGCGUUAUCCGGAGUUACUGGGCGUAAAGCGUGCGCAGGUGGUCAUGUAAGACAGAUGUGAAAUCCCCGGGCUUAACCUGGGAAUUGCAUUUGUGACUGCAUGGCUAGAGUGUGGCAGAGGGGGAUGGAAUUCCGCGUGUAGCAGUGAAAUGCGUAGAUAUGCGGAGGAACACCGAUGGCGAAGGCAGUCCCCUGGGCCUGCACUGACACUCAAGCACGAAAGCGUGGGGAGCAAACAGG